AAAAAUGUUCAUCCAUUUACCCUGCGCAUCACCACAGUAGAGGAUUCGGCCCUAUCUCCCCUAAACCUAGAUUCAACGCAUCACCUCCUUCCUCGCUCCUGCGGUACCCGGAGGCGGAGGCGCCUUGUGCCGUCUUGUCCCGGCCGAGAACGUGGGACGGUUCCGCGCGGGCUCGCGCGGCUCUCUGGCCACCAGACCAUAGAGGAUCUCUCCAAGGUCGCUUCCUCGCUCAUGUCACCUAAGGGCGACCAAGUCUAGGCGGAGGAGGCAGCGGGUCGAGGGUCAGCGAAGAGGUGGUGAAUGGUGUGCGCCCCCGUCUGGAACAACUUCGUGCUCCGUACACAGAGGACAAUGUGCUGCGGGUGGUGUUGUCGGCCAUGUACAGCAUGAGGUGUGUGGGCAUAGGGUUGUCCGAGAACGACCUCAUUGUGGGAGUCGACUGCGUGGUGUAGGAGGCAGCGGUCCUAGGAGACUUCCCAAGAAUUCGCCACCCACCUUCACACAAGAAAUUCCAGGUAUUCUCCCUACGAGUCCCAUCUCCUCGCCCCCCCCCCUCUCCGAUCCAAUCGAUCGCUGAUCGCUGUGUUUCCAUAUCUUCCACAACAACGAGGGCACCGAGCAUAUUGACUUCAUGUUGGACAUCAUGUGCAAGGAGGCCAAGGAUUGUGUCUACCUCGUGUAGGGGAGGUAGGCAAGUUUUUAGUUUUUAUCUCUUUUUUAAAAUUAAAACUGCACCCUUAAGCUUUACAUGCUUUUAUGUGGAAUGUGUGCAGAUAGGUAUACGUGAAUCAAAAUCCUGAUUCUGAGCUUCCUGUACCAUAGUAGCCACCUUUCUUUCUUGGUGAAUUAUUUGUUGUGGAUGUAAUUCCAAUGGAAAAUAUAUAUUAUUGAGGUUAGCUUCAGCUGCGUUCCAGUUCAAUAUCGCAGUUACUCCUGCUCUUGGGAUUGAGCUGGCGUUUUGGUUAUUUAGAGUGUUAAUUUGACUUUUGAGUUGCAUUAUAGGGAGCUGACAUCAUUUAAAUUAAUUUAGGAUGAUUUCAUUAGUGAUAUGAUUCUGAAAAAAUGGUAAAGGAUGCUCUAUUAUAGGUCCCACUGCUGGAUUUGAUUCUGAAAAAUGGUAAAGGAUGCUUUAGUUUCGUCCAGCAUAAUUUACCUAAUAAUUCUAGGACACUAAAUUUGGUUGAGAAUUUCAAAAAUGAGCUUAAAUCAUGUGAUAUAAUUGAAUUACUGUAACAGAUUAGGCUGAGACCUAAAAUAUACAUGUUCCUUUAAAUAUACUUCUUGUCCUGCAACCUGAAAUUGAGAAGCAUAAGUUACUCUGGUGCUGAUCUGAUAAUAAACCUGCAACCUGAACAUUGCAAGGAUUUUGGCAUUGGCCAAUUGAUUUGCUGAUUUACUAAUUUUUUAUAUUGCAACCUGUUCAAGCCUUGUAAUCUUUGGAAGGGUUUGUGCUUGUGAAUAAUUUGUUGAUUGACCUAACCAUACGCCUAAAAAGGAAAAUGAUGCCAUUUUGAUACUUUUGUUUUACUGAUCUAUAGAACCAGCUAUCAAGUUUAAUUAGCCCAUGGACUCAUUCUAUAAUUUUUAUAUGCUUCUUUAGAUACAUGACAAGAAUUCAUGGCUUCUACCAUUCUACAUAAUCCUGCUCCAAAAUAUAUAAGGCUAGGGCAACAUUUUCUUUCAUGCUGCAGAAUCUACCAGGAUGUAGGUGAUCAAAAUAAUAGAUCGCAUUGCAAUGUGAUUUUGUGCCUGGUGAUUGAGCUUAUAGUAGAUUUUUGAUAUUGUUAUGUUAUUGGACUAUUUGUCCUUAUCAAAUUUGCUAAUUAGCUUGAUGGAUCUUUUUGCAGCUUUUUACAUUUGAUACAAGACCACAAGAGACACGUAAGCACAAGCACAAACUAUCUAAUAGCAGAAAUUGAUGCUAAUUGGCAUUGUACAGUUUUACAAAUAUAUUUAGGGUCUAGCUAUACCAUAUAAUACAACCUAAAACCUCUACUUUCUAAUUGAUGCUAAUCUGCAAUGUACAGUUUUAGAGAUAUAUUUUGGGUCUAGCAAUAAUACAACAUAAAUCCUCCACUUUCUAAAUGAUGAAAUCCUUCACUUGCCAAAACUAAAUUAGCAUUUAGGGUCCGUAGUAGAAACAUAAGUAUGAAGCUAAAUUCAUGCUAGACUUGAAGGUCAUGGCUUCAUUAUUAGGGAAACAACCUGGUAUGUUAUGCAAGCAUUAAUUGAAAAUAUUGUCUUUAGUGUUUAGCACUAGCAUCCCAUUUUAAUUGAGGCUUUUCAAUUACUUAUGUUAACUCAUAUGUGGAAGUGUCUUGAAGGAGUAAUUCACAACCAGAAUUUGAACGCAUGAAACUAUCUGUGUUUCCGUUUUCAGCUGGUAGAGAUAUUGUUAUGCACAUCGAUUAGGGUUUUUACGAUACAUGGAUCUUGUUUAUGCUUAGCCACAAAAUAGACAUGUUAAGUUUUUUUUAUGAUUAGGGUUGCCAGCACCCCUUUUGCAAAAUUGUUAAUGCAUUUUCUAUGCAAUGCACAGUUAAUGAUUCAAACAUAUCAAUUCCCUAUCUUUUUCGUUUGAUAUAGUACAACUAUGAAGUUUAGUCUCAGCUAUUACUUUUUAUGCACAUUGUUUUACACUUUAAAAGGCAUGUAUAUGCUCGCUUAUACGAGCACACUAGUUAAAAUCACUGACGUAUAGGUGACACUCAAAUUUCAAACUUUUUAUUAUUAGGGCUUAAUGUUUUUAUGCUCUCAUGGAAAUUAUAUGUGCAGUUGUUACAAAACAUUUAGAAAAUAUGAAGUUCAAUCCUAGUUAUACUUUUCUACAUAAUUUUUUACACAACAAAAUGGCAUUUAGUUAUUCUCACUGGUACACGGUUACAUGAUACACGCAUUUGUUUUUUAUAGUUUUUUGUUCUAUAUUCAUGGUUCAAUCGAAUCUUUUUUUGUUUUGCAAUGUUCUUCACAAUAUAUUCAGUGCUCCAGGGAAAAGGUGCCUCACUAUCAUAAAAUUAACAUCGCUGAUCCAUUUAUUCUUAUGCACACAAAUAACUAUGCUCAUCCAAGCACUUGUUUACAAUAAUCAAGUUGAGUUUUUAUGAUUCUUGGAUUAUAGCAGUGCACACGUGUACAUAUCACAGUUUUUAUGAUUCUAGGAUUCAUCUUUCUUCCAAGUAAUCGUUGAUACACUAGUUUCAGCAACUGAACAUGAUGUGUUUACAGAGAUGACAUUUGUAUGCCUCGCUCUGCAUUGCUUUGCUUGGCCUGGCAUCAAUAUACACUGUUUAAUCACCUUAUCCUUGUGAUGUUCACUCCCAUUAAAAUACCAUUACAUGCAAAUGCUUAUCAAAAUAAUUAAUUGAAGUAUUAGUUCCUCCAUUGUAUGCUAACAAGUAGCACUGUUAAGAUAACAAUAUUUGUCAGUUGCUAGUAAUGGUCAGUUGUAGUGGAAAAAUUUCUGGAAUAUUUUUGCUAAACAAUUCAGGGUGGAGACAACCAAUAGAUUUUGUUGUGAACAUUCAUGUUAUCUAUAUAGUUGAAAGUAAUUGUUCUUUGUUACGACAUCAUAAGUCCUUCCUUUUAGGACAUAUACAAGACACUAGUUUUAAUUGAGUUCAGGUUAGUUAAAAUGAGUUUAGUUCACUUGCUAUGCUGAUCUAUAGUUAACAUUUAACAUCACAAUGUCUCAUGCAGGCACCCCCCGAAUCCUCUGCAUCCAGCACCUCAUCAACCAUCCCGAUAAUGGUUUUUCCCUCAUUCACUAAUGUGUUGGUUGAAACACCUAAAAGCCAAUUUGUAAUGGUUUGCAUUAUCAUGGUAUUAGAUAUUUUCUUUUAUCUUCUGUCUGAAAUGCUAGCAACAUAAUGGUUUAUUAUAUACUUGAGCAGCUACUAUGCACUUUCAUUUCCUCUAUGUAUUUCCUAGUGUGGCAUUUGGUACUUACUUUGCAAUAUAUAGCAGAAAUGGAAUUGAGGGUAUCCAUGCAGAUGCAUGUAGCUGAACUCAGUCAAGUUUCUAUCCAUUGUGUGUGUGCGCGCUUAUUUUGCAUCGUGUCCUUCCUUUUCAUGCGGUAAACAGGAAAACAUUGGGCUUUAAAAUUUUUGUAUGGCUCGAUUGUGGUACUAGAAAUGUAUAAUAAUUGUUCUAAAGAAAUGUUAGAGGAUAAAGAAGUAAGUUACUAAAGUUUUGGAUUGUAUUCUUUCAUUUUCAUCUCACUUAUCCUAUUUCUUACUGGAAUCAUAAAAGCAUAUGGAGGAACUAUGUAUAGGCUAUAAAGAAGCAUAAGAAGCAUUUUUAUAGCAAGCCAAGUGUUCUGAUGAUUUUGUUUUUUCAAUUGUGUUUUCUGUCAUUGGUUCAGCAUGCACAUAUAUUGAUAUGAUUUAUGGCGUGGCAUCUGCCAUCUUUGUUAUAUUUAUGACAUCGUUCUUGAUUGAUGUGUGCGACAUGAAUGGUGGAUCUUUUUAACAUCCUGACCAUCAUUGUGUCGCUCAUUAUCAUAUUUUGUAUAUCAUUUAUGGGUUCACGGAUAUGAAAUGACAGGUUUCUUAUUUUUGA